CAAUAGCGUAUAUUAAAGUUGUUGCGGUUAAAAAGCUCGUAGUUGGAUUUGUGGUGUACUUCGGCGGCCCGUCACUAUGUGAUGGAGCUUGCUGAAGUCGCCAUCCUUGGGUGGAUCCUGUGUGGCAUUAAGUUGUCGUGCAGGGGAUGCCCAUCGUUUACUGUGAAAAAAUUAGAGUGUUCAAAGCAGGCUUAUGCCGUUGAAUAUAUUAGCAUGGAAUAAUAAGAUAGGACCUUGGUACUAUUUUGUUGGUUUGCGCACCAAGGUAAUGAUUAAUAGGGACAGUUGGGGGUAUUCGUAUUUCAUUGUCAGAGGUGAAAUUCUUGGAUUUUUGAAAGACGAACUACUGCGAAAGCAUUUACCAAGGAUGUUUUCAUUAA
rnacentral:rRNA from 1 species